AGCCUGGUAGCUCAGUGGAUAGAGCGGCAGCCUUCUAAGCUGUUGGUCGUAGGUUCGAUCCCUAUCCAGGCUA
rnacentral:tRNA from 1 species